rnacentral:rRNA from 1 species
GGGGAUAUUGGACAAUGGGGGAAACCCUGAUCCAGCGAUGCCGCGUGAGGGAAGAAGGUUUUCGGAUUGUAAACCUCUGUGGAGGGGGACGAUAAUGACGGUACCCCUUUAGGAAGCCACGGCUAACUACGUGCCAGCAGCCGCGGUAAUACGUAGGUGGCGAGCGUUGUCCGGAAUUACUGGGUGUAAAGGGAGUGUAGGCGGGAAAGCAAGUCAGAAGUGAAAACUAUGGGCUUAACCCAUAGCCUGCUUUUGAAACUGUUUUUCUUGAGUGAAGUAGAGGCAAGCGGAAUUCCUAGUGUAGCGGUGAAAUGCGUAGAUAUUAGGAGGAACACCAGUGGCGAAGGCGGCUUGCUGGGCUUUUACUGACGCUGAGGCUCGAAAGCGUGGGGAGCAAAC